GCAAACUUGGUCAUUUAGAGGAAGUAAAAGUCGUAACAAGGUUUCCGUAGGUGAACCUGCGGAAGGAUCAUUAGUAAGUUUGGCUUUUCCUUUUGCCCGAAAGGGCGGGGGGAGAAGGUUCAUUCUUGUGAACUGGAGGCCCUUUCCGGCCUCGCUUGUUUUUUCUUACUGUUAUUUUUUUUUUAUUGAUUUUUUCACAAGUCAAAAAAAAGAAGACAACUUUCAGCAAUGGAUCUCUUGGCUCUUGCAUCGAUGAAGAACGCAGC
rnacentral:misc_RNA from 1 species